rnacentral:rRNA from 1 species
UAGGGAAUCUUCCGCAAUGGGCGAAAGCCUGACGGAGCAACGCCGCGUGAGUGAUGAAGGCCUUCGGAUCGUAAAACUCUGUUAUUAGGGAAGAACAAAUGUGUAAGUAACUAUGCACGUCUUGACGGUACCUAAUCAGAAAGCCACGGCUAACUACGUGCCAGCAGCCGCGGUAAUACGUAGGUGGCAAGCGUUAUCCGGAAUUAUUGGGCGUAAAGCGCGCGUAGGCGGUUUUUUAAGUCUGAUGUGAAAGCCCACGGCUCAACCGUGGAGGGUCAUUGGAAACUGGAAAACUUGAGUGCAGAAGAGGAAAGUGGAAUUCCAUGUGUAGCGGUGAAAUGCGUAGAGAUAUGGAGGAACACCAGUGGCGAAGGCGACUUUCUGGUCUGUAACUGACGCUGAUGUGCGAAAGCGUGGGGAUCAAACAGGAUUAGAUACCCUGGUAGUCCACGCCGUAAACGAUGAGUGCUAAGUGUUAGGGGGUUUCCGCCCCUUAGUGCUGCAGCUAACGCAUUAAGCACUCCGCCUGGGGAGUACGACCGCAAGGUUG